rnacentral:rRNA from 1 species
GACGAACGCUGGCGGCGUGCUUAACACAUGCAAGUCGAACGGAAAGGCCUCUUUCGGGGGGUACUCGAGUGGCGAACGGGUGAGUAACACGUGAGUAACCUGCCCUUGACUUUGGGAUAACUUCAGGAAACUGGGGCUAAUACCGGAUAGGAGCUCCUGCUGCAUGGUGGGGGUUGGAAAGUUUCGGCGGUUUGGGAUGGACUCGCGGCUUAUCAGCUUGUUGGUGGGGUAGUGGCUUACCAAGGCUUUGACGGGUAGCCGGCCUGAGAGGGUGACCGGCCACAUUGGGACUGAGAAACGGCCCAGACUCCUACGGGAGGCAGCAGUGGGGAAUAGUGCACAAUGGGUGGAAGCCUGAUGCAGCAACGCCCGGUGCGGGAUGACGGCCUUCGGGUUGUAAACCGCUUUCGCUCAUGACGAAGCUUUGUGUGACGGUAGUGGGUAAAGAAGCACCGGCUAACUACGUG